GUGACAGGUGAGGUGUGACAGUUGAGGUGUGACAGGUGAGAUGUGACAGUUGAGGUGUGACACUUGAGGUGUGACAGGUGAGAUGUGACAGUUGAGGUGUGACAGUUGAGGUGUGACAGGUGAGGCGUGACAGUUGAGGUGUGACACUUGAGGUGUGACAGUUGAGGUGUGACACUUGAGGUGUGACAGUUGAGGUGUGACAGUUGAGGUGUGACAGUUGAGGUGUGACAGUUGAGGUGUGACAGUUGAGGUGUGACACUUGAGGUGUGACAGUUGAGGUGUGACAGUUGAGGUGUGACAGUUGAGGUGUGACACUUGAGGUGUGACAGUUGAGGUGUGACAGUUGAGGUGUGACAUCACCGUGAGAGCUUUAACAUCCACAGAAGCAGAGACACUGAGACUGUGACAGCAGCAAAACUUUAACAGUGAGACAGAGACGGACAGAUUGAUCAGUGUCCACACUGGAUCAAUAUCUACGUAUUAAUCAAUAUUGUCAAAAACACUGGAGUUGAUAAGCUGUUACUCAUGACACCUGACUGAUCAGUUAGCACUGUGGGCGGGACACUGAGCGAGGUGAUGAGUGCAGAUGGAGGCGGGCGGCUACAUCGAUAUUCAAUCAAUUCAUUUAAUCAGUUACUGGAUGAAAAAACAAAGUGCUGAAUAUUUCGACUGAUGAUCUGAUGGUUU